AUUGAACGCUGGCGGCAGGCCUAACACAUGCAAGUCGAGCGGAACGGCGGACGGGUGGGUAAUACCUAGGAAUCUGCCUGCCAGUGGGGGGUAACGUUCGGAAACAGACGCUAAUAACGCAUGCUAGCAGAUGAGUCUAGGGCGGAUUAGCUAGUUGGUGAGGUAAUGGAUCACCAAGGCUACGAUCCGUAACUGGUCUGAGAGGAUGAUCAGUCACACUGGAACUGAGACACGGUCCAGACGCCUACGGGAGGCAGCAGUGGGGAAUAUUGGACAAUGGGCGAAAGCCUGAUCCAGCCAUGCCGCGUGUGUGAAGAAGGUCUUCGGAUUGUAAAGCACUUUAAGUUGGGAGGCGUUACCGACAGAAUAAGCACCGGCUAACUCUGUGCCAGCAGCCGCGGUAAUAC
rnacentral:rRNA from 1 species